rfam:Dysgonomonas macrotermitis strain DSM 27370 genome assembly, contig: Ga0131167_139
GAGAGCCGUAUACAUGGAGACGUGUACGUACGGUUCGGUGGCGAGUGCUUGGAAACCUACCACUGUGAAAGGUGGCAAGGCGCCGGGUGCUUAGCCUAU